AGCAGGCCCCUCCUAAGACUCCUCCCCCAGGAACUCUGAGGACGACUCCCAGCAGUCAGACAAAGGAGAGGGAGAACACAGUGAGGAGCCAAAGGGCCUGUCGGAGGCAGACCACUGGAAAGGCCCAGCCCCCACCGUGGAGGAGGAGUCCAGGGAGGAGGAGUUAGACGAGUACUUUGAGGACAUGUUUCUUUGACCACCCUGCCCUUGGAUUUCUGCCAGCAAGAGUCAACAUGCAAGAGUCAACAUGCAAGAGUCAACGUGCAAGAGUCAACGUGCAAGAGUCAACGUGCAAGAGUCAACGUGCAAGAGUCAACGUGCAAGAGUCAACGUGCAAGAGUCAACAUGCAAGAGUCAACGUGCAAGAGUCAACAUGCAAGAGUCAACGUGCAAGAGUCAACAUGCAAGAGUCAACAUGCAAGAGUCAACGUGCAAGAGUCAACAUGCAAGAGUCAACGUGCAAGAGUCAACAUGCAAGAGUAGAUUUGAUUGAUUUUGUAUUAGACGUGGUUAUCUUCGUUUAAUAUUUCAGUUUGUCUGAAGCUGAAUAAAAUGCAGGUUCUUUUUUAAUCCUGAGCUUCUAAUUCAGCCUCCUGACAUUUCAUUAUAACUGAAAUGAAGACUACAAUAUGCAUGAAGUGCCAUGUAAGAACCUAGUAUCGAAGUGUAUUUAGAAAAAGCACAAUCCACUAACUCCCAAGAAAACACUAUCUGAAAAGAAAAGGACUGGAAACAUUCA